CCCUUAGAUGUCCUGGGCCGCACGCGCGUUACACUGAUGCAUUCAACGAGCUUAUAACCUUGGCCGAGAGGCCUGGGCAAUCUUGUUAACGUGCAUCGUGAUAGGGAUAGAUUAUUGAAAUUAUUAAUCUUGAACGAGGAAUUCCUAGUAAACGCAGAUCAUCAAUCUGCAUUGAUUACGUCCCUGCCCUUUGUACACCCCGCCCGUCGCACCUACCGAUUGGAUGGUCCGGUGAAGCCUCGGGAUUGUGGUUCUUGCCGCUUUAUUGUGGCGUGACCGCGAGAACUUGUCUAAACCUUAUCAUCUAGAGGAAGGUGAAGUCGUAACA
rnacentral:rRNA from 1 species